UACGAAGGGGGCUAGCGUUGUUCGGAAUUACUGGGCGUAAAGCGCACGUAGGCGGAUAUUUAAGUCAGGGGUGAAAUCCCAGAGCUCAACUCUGGAACUGCCUUUGAUACUGGGUAUCUAGAGUAUGGAAGAGGUGAGUGGAAUUCCGAGUGUAGAGGUGAAAUUCGUAGAUAUUACGGAGGAACACCAGUGGCGAAGGCGGCUCACUGGUCCAUUACUGACGCUGAGGUGCGAAAGCGUGGGAGCAACAGG
rnacentral:rRNA from 1 species